rnacentral:tRNA from 1 species
GCAGUAGUGGUUCAGUGCUAGAAUUCUCAUCUUCCACAUGGGAGACAUGGGUUCCAUUCCCGAUCGACUGCC